rnacentral:rRNA from 1 species
UUGAAAGGGAAACGAUUGAAGUCAGUCGUACCGGCGGGUAAUCAGCCUUUUGGGUGUGAUUAUGUGGAGCGUGAGGAGUUAAUCACCUUCAUCUUUGCAUAUUCGUGCACUUUGGGUGUACUUGCUCGUGUGGUAGGUUAACAUCAAUUUUGGUCGUCAUAAAAUGGUUGGAGGAAUGUAGCUUCGAUCUCGUAUUGAAGUGUUAUAGCCUUCGGCAGAUGUGAUGAUUGGGAUUGAGGAUUGCAACGAACCUUUCGGGGCUACCUGUCUGAUCUCUGAAAGUUGCUCUGGUGCUGAAAGCUUGCUUAUGGUAUCAAAGUUGACGUUCAAUAGGUUAGAACGGGAUAAAUUCGUUAAGGAUGUUGACGUA